rnacentral:rRNA from 1 species
CAUAGGUUAAUGAGGCGAACCGGGGGAACUGAAACAUCUAAGUACCCCGAGGAAAAGAAAUCAACCGAGAUUCCCCCAGUAGCGGCGAGCGAACGGGGAGCAGCCCAGAGCCUGAAUCAGUGUGUGUGUUAGUGGAAGCGUCUGGAAAGGCGUGCGAUACAGGGUGACAGCCCCGUACACAAAAAUGCACAUAUUGUGAGCUCGAUGAGUAGGGCGGGACACGUGGUAUCCUGUCUGAAUAUGGGGGGACCAUCCUCCAAGGCUAAAUACUCCUGACUGACCGAUAGUGAACCAGUACCGUGAGGGAAAGGCGAAAAGAACCCCGGCGAGGGGAGUGAAAAAGAACCUGAAACCGUGUACGUACAAGCAGUGGGAGCACGCUUAGGCGUGUGACUGCGUACCUUUUGUAUAAUGGGUCAGCGACUUAUAUUCUGUAGCAAGGUUAACCGAAUAGGGGAGCCGAAGGGAAACCGAGUCUUAACUGGGCGUUAAGUUGCAGGGUAUAGACCCGAAACCCGGUGAUCUAGCCAUGGGCAGGUUGAAGGUUGGGUAACACUAACUGGAGGACCGAACCGACUAAUGUUGAAAAAUUAGCGGAUGACUUGUGGCUGGGGGUGAAAGGCCAAU